AUCUCACGCGCUCGUCUUCCUCGUCCGUCCCAGAUCCGAUCUCCCCUCCCUGGAGGAGGCCCAGCCAGAUCCCCCGACAUCGGCCGAUCCGGCGGCCAUGGAGAAGCCGUGCACCCUCCUGGUGCACUUCGAUAAGGGCUCGCCGGCGAUGGCGAACGAGAUCAAGGCGGAGCUCGAGUCCGGCGACGGCCCCGCCAAGGCCGACGCCAUGCGCCGCGCCAUCUCGCUCCUCCUCAACGGCGAGCCCCUCCCGCACCUCUUCAUCACCGUCGUCCGCUACGUCCAGUCCUGCGACGACCACGCCGUCCAGAAGCUCCUCCUCCUCUACCUCGAGACCGUCGACAAGCGCGACGCCGCCACGGGCAAGGUCCUCCCGGAGAUGAUCCUCAUCUGCCAGAACCUCCGCAACAACCUCCAGAGCCCCAACGAGUACAUCCGCGGCGUCACGCUGCGCUUCCUCUGCCGCCUCGCCGAGCCCGAGCUGCUCGAGCCGCUCGUCCCCUCCAUCCUCGCCAACCUCGACCACCGCCACCACUUCGUGCGCCGCCACGCGCUCUCCGCCGUCGCCGCCAUCUACCGCCGCCAGCACGGGGACCAGCUCAUCCCCGACGCGCCGGAGCUCGUCGAGCGCUCCCUCGCCUCCGAGCAGGACGCCGCCGCGCGCAGGAACGCCUUCCUCAUGCUCCUCGCCAGCGCGCAGGACCGCGCCGUUGCCUACCUCCUCACCAACGCCGACCGCGUCGCGGAGUGGCCCGAUCUGCUGCAGAUGGCCGCCGUCGACCUCAUCUGCAAGGUCUGCGGCCCCAAGGGGGGCCGAGCCGACAAGGGGAGGUAUAUCAAGAUCAUCAUCUCCCUCCUCUCAGCGCCCAGCUCCGCCGUCGUCUAUGAGUGCGCGGGGGCGCUCGUGUCCCUCUCUUCCGCGCCCACCGCAGUGCGUGCCGCCGCCAACACAUACUGCCAGCUGCUCUCCUCGCAGAGCGACAACAAUGUGAAGCUCAUCAUCCUGGACCGUCUGCACGAGCUGCGCGCCUCGCAUAGGGAGGUGAUGGUGGAUGUGGUCAUGGAUGUGCUGCGUGCACUGGGCAGCCCCAAUGUGGAUGUCAGGAAGAAGGUGCUUGACUUAGUGCUGGAUCUGCUCACCCCGCGGAAUGUGGAGGAGGUGGUGCUCUACCUCAAGAAGGAGGUGGUUAAGACGCAGGCUGCUGAGGUUGAGAAGGGUGGUGAAUACCGCCAGAUGCUGGUGCAGGCCAUUCAUUCCUGUGCCAAGAAGUACCCAGAGGUGGCUGCAUCAGUUGUGCAUCUGCUCAUGGACUUCCUUGGGGACCCUAAUGUUGCUGCGGCACAUGAUGUUGUUUUGUUUGUGCGUGAGAUCAUAGAGACCAACCCCAAGCUCCGUGUAUCCAUUAUCCAGAGGCUAAUUGACACAUUCUAUCAGAUCCGGGCAUCCCGUGUCUGCAUUUGUGCUCUCUGGAUCCUUGCAGAGUACGCCCUGUCGCUGUCUGAGGUUGAGAGCGCCAUUUCCACUAUCAAGCAAUGUGUUGGGGAUCUCCCGUUCUACACUGUCUCUGAGGAAGGAGAGACAACUGAUUCCUCCAAGCCAUCCCAGCCAGUGGUGAACUCUGUCACUGUGUCUUCAAGAAGGCCUGCUGUUCUUGCUGAUGGUACUUAUGCCACACAGAGUGCUGCCACUGAGACUGCUAUUUCAGCUCCAGCAGCGUCUCUUGGGUCAUUGGCUUCCACCCAAAAUCUCAGAUCUCUUAUUCUGUCUGGUGAUUUCUUUUUGGCUGCUGCUGUUGCCAGUAAUCUGACCAAGCUUGUGUUGAGGCUGGAGGAGGUUCAGCCAUCAAAGGUUGAAGCAAACAAGGCUUCUACUGGAGCCUUGUUGAUCAUGGUGUCCAUUCUGCAGUUGGGAGAGUCAUCUUACCUCCCACACCCUAUUGACAAUGAUUCACAUGCUAGGAUUGUUCUCUGUGUGAGGAUUCUAUGCAAUCCUGGUGAUGAUGUUAGGAAGGUUUGGUUGCAGUCAUGUCGCCAGAGCUUUGUCAACAUGCUUGCUGAGAAGCAAUUUAGGGAGACUGAGGAGAUGAAGGCUAAGGCACAGAUAUCUCAUGCCCAACCAGAUGAUCUUAUUGAUUUCUAUCACCUAAAGAGCAGGAUGGGAAUGAGCCAACUUGAGUUGGAAGAUGCAGUUCAAGAUGAUUUGAAGGCUGCAACCGGUCAAUUCACUAAGGAUGCAGAUGAUACCAACAAACUAAAUCGAAUUCUUCAGUUGACCGGAUUCAGCGAUCCAGUCUAUGCUGAAGCAUUUGUAACUGUUCAUCAUUAUGAUAUUGUACUUGAUGUAACAGUCAUAAACCGAACAAAAGAGACACUUCAGAACUUGUGCUUGGAGUUGGCAACAAUGGGCGACUUAAAACUUGUUGACCGCCCCCAAAACUAUACAUUGGCCCCAGAGUCAAGCAAGCAAAUUCGAGCCAAUAUCAAGGUUUCAUCAACAGAGACUGGAGUUAUAUUCGGUAACAUAGUCUAUGAAACAUCAAAUGUGAUGGAACGAUCAGUGGUGGUCCUAAACGAUAUUCACAUUGAUAUCAUGGAUUACAUCUCACCUGCAACAUGUGCUGAUGUUGCUUUCCGGAACAUGUGGGCAGAAUUUGAGUGGGAAAAUAAGGUGGCGGUGAAUACAGUGAUUCAGGAUGAGAAGGAGUUCUUAGAUCAUAUUAUCAAGUCAACAAACAUGAAGUGUCUAACACCACUAUCUGCACUUGAUGGAGAAUGUGGGUUCCUUGCUGCAAACCUUUAUGCCAAGAGUGUGUUUGGCGAGGACGCUCUGGUGAACAUCAGCAUUGAGAAGCAGCCCGAUGGCAAGUUGAGCGGCUACAUCAGAAUUAGGAGCAAGACCCAAGGAAUAGCGCUCAGCUUAGGAGACAAGAUUACCCUAAAACAAAAGGGUGGCAGCAGCUAGCCGCUUGUGCCACAUGUAUAUCACCCCACACAUAUACCAUAAAGCUCCCAUUGAAGUCAAUUUUUGCUACCUUCCCAACAAUUUUCAGGUGUUGGCAAGUUAUUAUGACAGGUGGUAGUAGAGGUAUCCACCCUAUAUGGACAGGAUUGUGUAGCUUUGUGUUGUUCUAGCUUACAAAACAAAGAGCUUUGUUAUACUUACUGAUUUCAUGAAUCCUGAUUUCUAUCUGAUUCGAUGUCAUGUAUCAAAUAAUAAAGUGAUUAUAGAUUCUUUUCUUUGUUGCAAGCACACGCUUGCUACGAUCUU